GACGAACGCUGGCGGCGUGCCUAAUACAUGCAAGUCGAGCGAACUAAURGGAGCUUGCUCCCAAAGGUUAGCGGCGGACGGGUGAGUAACACGUGGGCAACCUGCCCUGUAGAUCGGGAUAACAUCGAGAAAUCGGUGCUAAUACCGGAUAAUUUCUAGAAUCUCAUGGUUCUAGAAUAAAAGAUGGCUCCGGCUAUCACUACGGGAUGGGCCCGCGGCGCAUUAGCUAGUUGGUAAGGUAACGGCUUACCAAGGCGACGAUGCGUAGCCGACCUGAGAGGGUGAUCGGCCACACUGGGACUGAGACACGGCCCAGACUCCUACGGGAGGCAGCAGUAGGGAAUCUUCCGCAAUGGACGAAAGUCUGACGGAGCAACGCCGCGUGAGUGAUGAAGGAUUUCGGUUCGUAAAGCUCUGUUGUUAGGGAAGAACAAGUGCCGUUCAAAUAGGGCGGCACCUUGACGGUACCUAACCAGAAAGCCACGGCUAACUACGUGCCAGCAGCCGCGGUAAUACGUAGGUGGCAAGCGUUGUCCGGAAUUAUUGGGCGUAAAGCGCGCGCAGGCGGUCUUUUAAGUCUGAUGUGAAAGCCCACGGCUCAACCGUGGAGGGUCAUUGGAAACUGGGAGACUUGAGUACAGAAGAGGAGAGUGGAAUUCCACGUGUAGCGGUGAA
rnacentral:rRNA from 1 species